rnacentral:lncRNA from 1 species
GCGAGGUGGCCGUGGAUGCGUUCGGCACCGUCGUCGUCUGCAAUGGGCACUAACCCGUGCCCAAGCUCCCAGGUGAGAGGCGCAAUGCCUAGUUUCUCCCCCCUUCCUUCCUUCCGGAUCUUCUCAACUCAGAUCAGGGAAACAAAAUUAUGAGCUGCUGUCAGAAGAGUUAUUAAUUUUGAUUUCGCGACUUAAGAACUGAGAAGAUGCACAGCCACAGAUACGCAUUCCAGAGGCAGAUGGCCUCAGGUGUUGCUAAUUUGGAUUGACCCCUGAUGUUGAGGUGAUAACUUAUUCCUUCUUUUGGAGUUUGUUCCUUAGUACCGGAUAUGCAAUAUUAGGAAUUGAAGUGCUGAAUUGGCUUUUGUUCAUGUUGCAACAGUGGUUGAUGUACAUGUUGACUAUGCAUUGAUCCUGAUUCAUGAUGGGAUGCUCCUCACUCCUCAGCCAUGCUACAGGAUGCGCGUCACGGGAUUCCGCCUUAUAUGCAAUGCACAUAUUUUAGUGAGAAAAUUACUAGCCAUGAUAAAUACUACCCAAUUGCUAUCUAUCAUGAUGUUGUUUGACCACUGUUCAACUGCCAUAAUUUUUACACCUAAUGACCAGAUUAUUUUAUCUUAGUUGUCAUGUUGUAUAUAGUCGGUUGCCAUGAUGUUUAACAAUCAUUCAAUUGCCAUAUUUUUUACACGUAGUGACCAGAUUAGUUGAUCCUACUUGCCACAUUGUUUUACAAGAGCUCAACUGCCAUAUUUUACCUCUAAUGACCAUAUUAUUUGAUUCUACUUGUCAUGUUAUUUUCACCGUUCAAUUGCCAUAUUUCUUUAUCCCCAAUGACCAAAUUAUUUCAUCAUAGUGGCCAUAUUGUUUACCACCGCUCAAUUGCCACAUUUCCUACCCUUAGUGACCAAAUUAUUUGAUCCUAGUUGCCAUGUUAUUUUAUCACCGCUCAAUUGCCAUAUUUUUUAUUCCUGGUGACCAGAUUAUUUGAUCCUAAUUGAGAUAUUAUUUUACCAUCGCUGCGAUUGCCAUAUUUUUAGUCUAGUGACCAGAUUAUUUGAUCAUAAUUGUCAUAUUUUCUUUAGCAUCGCCCAAUUGCCAUAUUGUGUACACCUAGUGACCAGAUUAUAUGAUUCUAAUCGCCAUGUUCUUUUAUCACCACUCAAUUGUCAUAUUUUUUUUACGUCUAUUGACCAUAUUAUUUGAUGUUAAUUGCCAUGUUAUUUUACCACCGCUCAAUUGCCAUAUUUUUUAUCCUUAAUGACCAGAUUAGUUGAUCCUAGUUGCCAUGUUAUUUUACCGUUGCUCAAUUGCCAUAAUUUUUGUCCCUAACGACCACAUUAUUGAUCUCAGUUGCCAUGUUGUUUUCCCACUGCUGAAUUCCACACUCAGCUUUGUGACAGUUUCAAGAAUGUCCGUUAAAUUAUAUGGUGACGACAUUAAGAGACAUUGGACUGAUCAAUAUAAUGGGUUGUCAAUGGAGAUAGGAUUGUGGUAGUGGCAGUGCAAUGACGGCAAGAUGUGAAUGUGUAUUUGUAUAGAUUGUAAAUUAUGACUUGGUCCUGAUUUGGUGGUGUUAUGUUAUGAUUUUGUUGUAAAUUUUGUCAUGCGUGUAAUGUAGUUGUAUGUACUACUUUUAGGGUUGAAGUGCUGGUCGGAGCGAUGUGUGAAAAUGAUUUAAUCAGUAUCUAGACCUGUUGUCGGAUGCAUUAGUCACUAUGUAUGGAAGAGCGAUUUAAUAUGUAUGGGUCAAGCUCUAUUUGUCGAAAGAAUUAAGCUAAUUGAAAACAAUAAAGCCAAUCCAUCCCCAGCGUGAGAGCGCGCGGUACGGCAGCUGGCAGGAGGCGUAAAGCCAAUCCAUUCCUCUAGGUCCUCUUCUUGGAAGAAGCUCGUCUGCUGCUGCAGGUGGUGGUGGUGGUCGUCGUCCUUGAGGAAGAGGCCAAGAGGGCGCAAGAAGCUGCGCGAGCCGACCAUGUACUGAUCUUGAGGCCGAGCAAGGCCGAAGAACUCCAGGUCGAUUU